AUUGAACGCUGGCGGCAUGCUUUACACAUGCAAGUCGAGCGGCAGCGCGGGGGCAACCCUGGCGGCGAGCGGCGAACGGGUGAGUAAUGCAUCGGAACGUAUCCUCGAGUGGGGGAUAACCCAGCGAAAGUUGGGCUAAUACCGCAUGAGCUCUGAGGAGGAAAGCGGGGGACCUGCGAGGGCCUCGCGCUGGAGGAGCGGCCGAUGUCCGAUUAGCUAGUUGGUGGGGUAAAGGCUUACCAAGGCGACGAUCGGUAGCUGGUCUGAGAGGAUGAACAGCCACACUGGGACUGAGACACGGCCCAGACUCCUACGGGAGGCAGCAGUGGGGAAUUUUGGACAAUGGGGGCAACCCUGAUCCAGCCAUGCCGCGUGAGUGAAGAAGGCCUUCGGGUUGUAAAGCUCUUUCGGACGGAACGAAAUGGGCGGGACUAAUACUCCUGUCUGAUGACGGUACCGUAAGAAGAAGCACCGGCUAACUACGUG
rnacentral:rRNA from 1 species